GUCAGAAAGAAGAAGCUUGCACAGAGAGUGUGGUGGAAUUCCAGAUCCUCUGUGGUUCCCACUGCACAUGCCACCUCCUUAUCUCCUGCAGGGCCAACAAAGUCCCUUUACAACACCACAGGCCAGAGCUGGCUCUGAAAAUGACCACGUCCAAGCCCAGCUGGAAGCCAACUGCAAGUGGAUGAGGAGGCAGCAGACAAUUCUAGAGGAGGAGCCAUUCUUCAAGAUGGCUGGCUUCUCUCCACCAGGACAAAACUGCAAAACAAUCAAGAAGCAUGAAGAACUUACUCAAGGCAUGAAGAGGAACAUGAAGUUAAUUAACGGAAAGCUGAGAUGAAACCAAACCUGUCUAUCUGUACGUCAUAAAUUCUUAAGUGUUUGGCUACAUUACAUUAUGGGGUUUAUAAAUAAUUAAUAAUGCAAUAAAAAGUACCUAAUAUAUGGACA
rnacentral:lncRNA from 13 species